AGUGAACGCUGGCGGCAGGCCUAAUACAUGCAAGUCGAACGGCAGCACAGUGGAGCUUGCUCCAUGGGUGGCGAGUGGCGGACGGGUGAGGAAUACAUGGGAAUCUGCCCAGUCGUGGGGGAUAACGUAGGGAAACUUACGCUAAUACCGCAUGCGCCCUUCGGGGGAAAGCCGGGGACCUUCGGGCCUGGCGCGAUUGGAUGAGCCCAUGUUCGAUUAGCUAGUUGGCGGGGUAAAGGCCCACCAAGGCGACGAUCGAUAGCUGGUCUGAGAGGAUGAUCAGCGACACUGGGACUGAGACACGGCCCAGACUCCUACGGGAGGUAGCAGUAGGGAAUAUUGGACAAUGGGCGCAAGCCUGAUCCAGCCAUGCCGCGUGAGUGAAGAAGGCCCUCGGGUUGUAAAGCUCUUUUGUCCGGGAAGAAAAGCAUCGGGCUAAUACCUCGGUGUUCUGACGGUACCGGAAGAAUAAGCACCGGCUAACUUCGUG
rnacentral:rRNA from 1 species